rnacentral:rRNA from 1 species
GACGAACGGCUGGCGGGCGUGCCUAACACAUGCAAGUCGAGCGGGGUUGAGGGCGAGAGGUAACUCGAACUUCUACCUAGCGGCGGACGGGUGAGUAACGCGUGGGCAAUCUGCCUCAAGGUUUGGGAUAACAGCCCGAAAGGGCUGCUAAUACCGGAUAUGCCUAUGGCCUCGCAUGGGGCUAUGAGCAAAGGGGAAACCCGCCUUGAGAUGGGCCCGCGUCCCAUCAGCUAGUUGGUGAGGUAACAGCUCACCAAGGCGACGACGGGUAGCCGGCCUGAGAGGGUGACCGGCCACACUGGGACUGAGACACGGCCCAGACUCCUACGGGGGGCAGCAGUGGGGGAUCUUGCACAAUGGGCGAAAGCCUGAUGCAGCGACGCCGCGUGAGCGAAGAAGGCCUUCGGGUUGUAAAGCUCUGUCUGGAGGGACGAACAAAAUGACGGUACCUCCGGAGGAAGCCACGGCUAACUACGUG